rnacentral:rRNA from 1 species
UACGUAGGCACCAAGCGUUGUCCGGAUUUAUUGGGCGUAAAGAGCUCGUAGGCGGUUCGGUAAGUCGGGUGUGAAAACUCUGGGCUCAACCCAGAGCCGCCACCCCGAUACUGCUGUGACUCGAGUGCGGUAGGGGAGCGGGGGAAUUCCUGGUGUAGCGGUGAAAUGCGCAGAUAUCAGGAGGAACACCAGUGGCGAAGGCGCCGCUCUGGGCCGUGACUGACGCUGAGGAGCGAAAGCGUGGGUAGCAAACAGG